UGCAUGGGAUUCCAUGUUCAGGCAGCACAGGUACCAGGAAGGAGGUGCAGCUGCUGGACCACAGGGCUCUGUUUGACAUCCACAGACAAGAAGGAACAUCAGAGAGGAUCCAUGCUCAGAUGUCUUCAUGUAAUAUUCCCUCUGCAAGGAGAGAAGAUGAUUUUGGACUAGAGCCAGCAUGAUGCUGACCUUGACGUGCUGUCAUUGUAAGGUGUGAUGUGUCAGCUGAUGCUUCCACAGCUUUGCCUCUCCGUGGACUGUGAAAGACCUACAGAUCAGCACAUCUCUGCUUCGUGUAGAAGAAGGGAGGCCAACAUCCCGCUCCUCAGAUCAUACUGAAAAAUAUCUAAUGACAUUACCAGGUCAGAGGGGAGCAUGUUGAUGCUAAUGGAGGAAUGAAUUUCUACUCCAAGCACUUUGUUGCCGGCAGAGUGGCACGUGGGAGAGAAGGACAGCUGACUUCUGUC